UACGGAGGGUGCAAGCGUUGUCCGGAUUUAUUGGGUUUAAAGGGUGCGUAGGCGGCCCUGUAAGUCAGUGGUGAAAUUCUUGAGCUUAACUGAAGGAUUGCCAUUGAUACUGUAGGGCUUGAGUACAGAUGAGGUAGGCGGAAUUGAUGGUGUAGCGGUGAAAUGCAUAGAUACCAUCAAGAACACCGAUUGCGAAGGCAGCUUACUAAGCUGUAACUGACGCUGAUGCACGAAAGCGCGGGGAUCGAACAGG
rnacentral:rRNA from 1 species